rnacentral:rRNA from 1 species
UCUAAGUAUAACCUGCCAGACAGGGAAACUGCGUACGGCUCAUAACACCAGCCUUAAUUUACUUGACCUUGACAACCUACUUGGAUAACUGUGGUAAUUCUAGAGCUAAUACAUGCACCAAAGCUCCGAUCCUCGCGGAGAGGAGCGCAUUUGUUCGCCACAAAACCAAGCGCCCAUCUGGGCGUCCAGUGCUGAACCAGAACAACUCAGCUGAUCGCACGGUCUUGUACCGGCGACGUGUCUUUCAAGUGUCUGCCUUAUCAACUUUCGAUGGUAGUGUACCUGACUACCAUGGUUGUGACGGGUAACGGAGGAUAAGGGUUCGACUCCGGAGAAGGGGCCUGAGAAAUGGCCACUACGUCUAAGGAUGGCAGCAGGCGCGCAAAUUACCCACUCUCAACGCGAGGAGGUAGUGACGAGAAAUAACGAGACCGUUCUCAUACGAGGCCGGUUAUUGGAAUGGGUACAAUUUAAA